GUUGGAAGUUGAAGCGCUGCUCUCGAAAGUCCUGCGAUUUUCCAGGGAAAUGUAUGAGGAAACGAGGCACAGUCUAAACGUUGAUGAUUUGACAAGUCGUUAUCGUGUCACUGCGUCUUCAUUGAUCAGCUACUGUUAAGACAAUGGACUGUAAAAAGUUGAAGGACGUCGGGACAUUUAAAAGGAGGUGUGUUAAGUUGACUGGAAGUCACACACAUAGCUGUAUGUGCUUCUGUCAACCAGUAGAUGUCCCUACAGCCUGACUAAAUAAGCUCUCUGUGUUACAGGACUGCUACAAUGCCUCUUUUGUGGGAUUGGACCACAUGACCAGCAUUUGUCGGGCAAUGCCUAGCAGAAGAAUUUCCUUCAGAUAAGUAACGCUUUUAUCUGAUCUUCAAAUAACGGCAAAUAUCUGUAAAAUCAUCUGAUGUCUUUGCUGAUUUAGUUACAGUGAAACAAAUUUUACAGUCAAACAUUGGAUAAGAAUGAAUUACCAAUUUCUAGAAAUUCAGAUUUUUGAUAUGAACAUACUGUUGUCUAUUUUUAGAUUUUGACGUACAUUUUUGUGUGAUUGUGACUGGAUACUGAAUAAUUUUGCAAAACAAGUAAAUUCUGUAAGUGUAAUGUAGCUGUAAGUUGUUCAAAAAAUGCACUUAAAAACUUAAAUAGACAUUAAUUUUUUUACAGUGUAGUUUCCUGUCAUGUGUCUGUGGUUUGAACCUUGUUAAAUUUUUAAGGGGCGGCAUGGCUCAGUGGGUAGAGUGGCCGUCUUGUAACUGGAAGGUUGCCGGUUCGAUCCUCGUCCCGUCAUGCUCAUGUUGAGGUGUCCCCGAGCAAGCACCUAACCCCUAAUUGCUCCUGAUGGGUCGUGGUUAGCGCCUUGCAUGGCAGCUUCCGCUAUCAGUGUAUGAAUGGGUAAAUGUGACACAUCAUGUAAAGUGCUAUAUAAAUACAACCAUUUA